AAAGUGGCUGCUGCGUUCGCUGCGGAGAAGGCGCAGCCGGAGGGCGACGAGGGGGACGGGGGAGGCCGGGACGAUGGAAAUAGUGCGCUGAGAUAGAGAGAAAGAGGAAGAGAUCGGAAGAGAGAGGAAGAUAGAGAAAGCGAGAGAAUCACAGUGGUAUCAGAGGCCUCUUCGCGGACCAACUCAUGAACGGCGUACGAGGUGCACACGCGCAUGAUUCCCAAAUAAGAGAGCGCGCGCGAAGGCAAAGUUUGCGAGCGCAAUGGAAGCGCUGUGACGCGCGUUUGAAUGUGUCGUCGUGCGCUUCAUCUUUCGGCGAAACUGUUAAAAGUUUCGUUUGACACGAAUCAAACUCUCGAAAUGCAGUUUUAGAUAUAGGUGCGGCAUAUAUACCAGUGGUUACCCUAUUGGUAGGGACUAAAGAUUGUAGCAUCGAGGACUGUAUUGACAUUCCCUUCCCAUAACGGCUUAAGAGCAUCGUUGAUAUAGUACGAUAUAGUACCAAUAACGAGGAUUUAACCUACGAUGUCGCAAUCAUUGAUAAGGACAAUAAUGCGCGCUUAUUGUGACAGAUGAGAAAGCACAGGAUGAUGAGCAAGCCAUGUUUCAUUAGGAAUAAUUAUUGGUGAAAUUUGUAUGUAUGUGCCUCCGCCUUUUUGUAUUCAUCUUUUCUAAAACCGCCAUUUUCAUAUAUUUUUAUUCUUUUCUUUAAUCUUUAGCGUCAAUCCGUUUAGAAGAA
rnacentral:lncRNA from 13 species